GUAGGUGGCAAGCGUUGUCCGGAAUUAUUGGGCGUAACGCGCGCGCAGGCGGUUCUUUAAGUCUGAUGUGAAAGCCCACGGCUCAACCGUGGAGGGUCAUUGGAAACUGGAGAACUUGAGUACAGAAGAGGAAAGCGGAAUUCCACGUGUAGCGGUGAAAUGCGUAGAGAUGUGGAGGAACACCAGUGGCGAAGGCGGCUUUCUGGUCUGUAACUGACGCUGAGGCGCGAAAGCGUGGGGGAGCAAACAGGAUUAGAUACCCUGGUAGUCCACGCCGUAAACGAUGAGUGCUAAGUGUUAGGGGGUUUCCGCCCCUUAGUGCUGCAGCUAACGCAUUAAGCACUCCGCCUGGGAGUACGGCCGCAAGGCUAG
rnacentral:rRNA from 1 species